rnacentral:rRNA from 1 species
UUUAGUUAGAGUUUGAUCCUAGCUCAGGAUGAACGCUGGCGGCGUGGAUAAGGCAUGCAAGUCGAACGGAGAAGUCCCAUGAAGUUAUGAGAAACUGAAAGUAGCAAUACGAUUGGAAUCAAGUUUUGGAUUGGGUUUGCUUCUUAGUGGCGAACGAGGUAGUAAUGUAUAGGAACAUCCCCCAAAGUCUUGAAUAAUUCACCGAAAGGUGGACUAAUACAAGAUGGUCUCGCAAGAGUAAAGAUUUAUCGCUUUGGGAAUGGCCUGUAUGAUAUCAGCUAGUUGGUAGUGUAAUGGACUACCAAGGCUAUGACGUCUAGGGGAGGUGAGAGCCUGACCCCCACCGAUGGUACUGAGACACGGACCAUACACCUACGGGUGGCUGCAGUCGAGAAUCUUCCGCAAUGGACGAAAGUCUGACGGAGCGACGCCGCGUGAUUGAUGAAGCCCCUCUGGGGCGUAAAGAUCUUUUAUGAGGGAAGAAGUUUAUUGACGGUACCUCAUGAAUAAGAGGCUCCUAAUCUCGUGCCAGCAGGAGCGGUAAUACGAGAGCCUCGAGCGUUAUCCGGAAUUAUUGGGC